GCUGGAGCGCAUCCGGAGCCGCCGGUGGUGGUGUCGCGCUGCCGGCUUUAAGGAAUUCAUCGGGGCUCUCCGCUGCCCGUGAAAAUGUCUGUGCGUCCUCCUCCUCCUCUUCCCAGCCCAGUGCCUCACCAGGUACAGCGUCCGCAGCCCGCUGCUCUGUUGGCAGAAGUCGGCUUCUGGUUGUGUUUGUUUGUUUCCUCAGAAACUUUCGUCCUUGCGCGAUUUGGGUCUCAGCUGGGGUCAGUCAUCCAUCCAGCUGACGAAACCUAAAGGACGUGAAAUUUAACAGGACCCUGAACAUCAGCAUUGGAACAGGAGGUCCAAAUGCUGUUCCUAAUCAAAGGCAAGAUGCGGCUGCUUGCAAGCACGGGUAGUUACACGCUGCACAGGCGCUGUGCACGGCACUGCAUGCACGGUCCUUCCUCCACUUUCCCUGCAGUGGAAGUUCAGAGAUGUAGAAGAAGACUCAACAAGUGAUGGAGAGGUGUGUUCAGAGUCGUGGGGCUUUCACUUUAAAGACAGUACCGGUUUAGAGUUGUGUGACAAAUAAUAACAGUACAUAAAAACAAAAUAUUUGGCAACACUCCAUCUUGAAAGCUUGAUAGGGAAAAAAAAAAGUAAACCAACACUGCUUCCGAGGAGUGUCCUAAUGAGUAUAGCAGGAACCAGUUACCCGUUUACACUUUAUGGAAAUGGUUAUUUACACUAUGUCUAAAGCUACUAAAGCUAGGCCUUUUAAAACUGCUAUUGGUGAGAUGGAACCUGAAGUCUCUGGCUGUUUUUUUUAAAGAAAUCAAGUUAUGACCUCUGGGCAAAAGGCUUGUACCAGCUUAUAUGGUAUCCUAUCUCCUCAUUGAAAAGGGAUUCACAUGGAAAAGAAGGCUAAGUUCCAGGUAUGUGGCAGUAAGCCUACUCUUUUCAAAAACGGUCCGUUGCCUGUAAGAUGUCAUGAUUAACUUCAUUUGCACCAUUCUUUUCAAGUACUGGAUAAAGGCAUACAAGUCCAGAAUACACAGGUCCUGUCUGAAAGAUGUGAGCUGUGCUUCAUGUCAGGAAUAGCUCUCUUCCCUUAUGGACUCCCAAGUAAAACACCUGCAGGUGUGGUGAGCUGGAACUUGGAAAAGCCAAAGCUGCAAAACCGAAAGGCGCACACGUAGGUGCUGAAGAGCCUUCCAUGUAGGAAGAUUAGCAAGCAUAGAUGGAAUAGAAGAACAAGUGUUUUUCAAUUCAGCAUCUGCUCUAGAAAUGUGAAAAUGUAAAGCUCGCAUUGGAAAAAAAUUAGGAUUUUAGUACUUGGAGAAAAUAUGUAGAUAAUUUUUAAAUUGCAUUUGUGUUUUUAACAUCCCUGUUCUUUCAGAAAGAUGUAAUGAGGGGUGAACCAGUACAUACCGUGUUACAUUAAUGCUAGAAAUUAAAAAAAUAAACAAACACACAAACCCCCUAACAAUGCAAAAGGGUAAUGUAAUAACAAAAAAACCUGGUUAACUACCAGGGUUUAUGAAAUAGUAAAAAGUGAUAUGUCUUUUAAUAGUUUAGGAAUUAAUUAUAAUUCUGAGCUAUUGCAAGGCAACAGAAAUUAAAACAACUCAGUUUUCCAACUUUCUGUCAUUUGAACUUUUAUAAUGCAUCAGGGAGGUAGAAAAACUAUUGUGGUCUAAUAUUGAAUGUGAAAUUUGGGGCAAAUGGGGGUUUUUAUUAUUAUUUAUUGGAGUGAAAGAGAAGGUAGAGAUACUUUUUGUAUAAUAAAACCCACUGUUAUGAAUGACUCUC